UACGUAGGGUGCAAGCGUUGUCCGGAAUUAUUGGGCGUAAAGAGCUCGUAGGCGGUCUGUCGCGUCUGCUGUGAAAAUCCAGGGCUCAACCCUGGACCUGCAGUGGGUACGGGCAGACUAGAGUGCGGUAGGGGAGAUCGGAAUUCCUGGUGUAGCGGUGAAAUGCGCAGAUAUCAGGAGGAACACCGGUGGCGAAGGCGGAUCUCUGGGCCGUAACUGACGCUGAGGAGCGAAAGCAUGGGGAGCGAACAGG
rnacentral:rRNA from 1 species